UUCCAUUUUUUUAAUGAAAGACAUCUUGGUUGCUACCAAGUUGGGGCAGUUAUUCAUAAAGGUGCUAUAAAUAUCUAUGUACAGGUUUUUGUGUGGACAUAAGUUUUCAAGUCCUCUGGGUGAAUACCAAGGAAAGCAAUUGUUGGAUCAUAU